AUGCUGGCAGAAUGUUGCGUGAUUUCAACAUCAAACACAUCGCGCUUCAGUCACAGCGGCCCUGAGGAACAAAGACAGAAAAGCGUGUGGCACGCGUUAGAGACAUCAAACUGCGGCUUCGGGAAGUGGUGGCUGUCGUUCAAGCAAAGCAAGAGGCCCUGCCUCUGUCUCUCCAGGCUGUGUGCCGCCACUCACGGCCACUCCACAAAGUGGGCCCACAAGCCAACAUCUCAAGCUGGGUGUCAGCAGCGGCCCCUGGUUGGUCUUCAGCCUCCAGCCUUGCCUCCCUCCGGCCUCUCCACCCACAGGGAGCCUCCUAAAGUGCACAUCUGCUCCUGGGCUUCUGUGCUUGAGCCCCCAGCGCUCCCUCUGCUCCUCAGGAUGAAGCCUUUCUCCUUGGCAUAGCCUUGGGCCCUCCACUGCUUCCCACCCUCCACCACACCGCCCCCCGCCUCCAGCCUCCUGUCUCCCCUUCUCCACCUCUACACCCAGGCAAACUCAACCACCUGCUCUGCCUCAAACACCGAGACGUCUGCAAAUGCCCUUCCCUCCUCCUGGAAAGGACUUCUUCAUUCCAGUCCCUCUCACCUUCCUAGACCCUCUUUCCACUGAACCAAUUUUCCCUCCUCUGUCUAGACUUGGCUUAGACGCCCCCUCCUCCGACUAGCCUUCUCUGACCCCUCGCACCUGGGUGAGCUGCUCUUCCCACCAACCUCUGCUACCCAGUCCGAGCCCCCCACACCAGUCGGGUGUGCUGGCUUCUGUGUCCACCCCACACCAGACAGGCUCCUUGUCUUUCCUUUAACUGGCAGUGUUUCACAGAGCUCCUGCUGUGGAACACAGGCUCCAUAAAUGUGUGCAGGACAGAUGAAUGAAUGAAUGAACGAAUGGAUGCUUGUUGGGCCUCUAGUCCAUUGCUGAAAUGGGGUUCUACAUCAGAGCUGUGUGCAGUGUGGUCCACCCAGUGGGUACCAGUUGGCAACAAAUUAAGUGUAGAAAUUGAGAGUAAGUGUUUUAAAACCUUUAUAACAAUUCAGCUGAGUACUUUGAUGUUGGCUCCGUCUAAUAAUAAAGAUGUUGCGCUU
rnacentral:lncRNA from 1 species